rnacentral:rRNA from 1 species
ACUAGAGAACCGGCAGAGGGAAACGGAAUUUCUGGUGUACCGGUAAAAUGCGCAGGAGAUCAGAAAGAACACCGAUGGCGAAGGCAGUUUCCUAGGCCGCAUCUGACGCUGAGAGGCGAAAGCUAGGGGAGCAAACAGGAUUAGAGACCCUGGUAGUCCUAGCUGUAAACGAUGGAUGCUAGGUGUGGGCCGGAAAGGUCCGUGCCGUAGUUAACGCGAUAAGCAUCCCGCCUGGGGAGUACGGCCGCAAGGCUAAAACUCAAACGAAUUGACGGGGACCCGCACAAGCAGCGGAGCGUGUGGUUUAAUUCGAUGCUACACGCAGAACCUUACCUGGGCUUGACAUGUAGGUGGUAGUGAAGUGAAAGCGGAGCGACCCUUCGGGGAGCCUACACAGGUGCUGCAUGGCUGUCGUCAGCUCGUGCCGUGAGGUGUCGGGUUAAGUCCCGUAACGAGCGCAACCCUUGUCCUUAGUUACAAGUGUCUAAGGAGACUGCCGGUGACAAACCGGAGGAAGGUGGGGAUGACGUCAAGUCAGCAUGGCCCUUAUGUCCAGGGCGACACACACGCUACAAUGGUCGGUACAAUGGGCAGCGCAGCCGCGAGGUGAAGCGAAUCCCAACAAAGCCGAUCCCAGUUCGGAUUGCAGGCUGCAACCCGCAUGCAUGAAGCCGGAGUUGCUAGUAACCGCGCGUCAGCCAUAGUGCAGGUGAAUACGUUCCCGGGUCUUGUACACACCGCCCGUCACGUCAUGGGAGUUGUAACGCACUGAAGCCAGUAGUCUGACAUAACGGAGGACGCCGUCGAAGG